UAUUGGACAUAAAGACCUGGAGUUGGACAGCGUAGCUGAAAUAGCUGAUGCGCUCUUGGAGGCAUCACCUCCGGCUGUUCCACCUGCUACCUGUGCAAUCAACAAUAACAAUACUUCUGGGCCGUCGGAAAUGAGUGCUCUCAUGAAGUGCAUUGACGACCUAACAAUGAGAGUUGAAGCCCUCAGUACCAGGGACUCGCAGCCAUCUCGUUUCCACUCCCAGCCUAAUUCACAGUCGCAAUCUAGACCCGGAGGACGUUGGUGCUGGUACCACAAACGCUAUGGCAAAAACGCCACAAAAUGUAUCUCUCCUUGUACCUGGAAACCCCGUCAAGAGGGAAACUUUCCAAGCAAUCAGUAGAGGCGGCUUCUGAUUGCUCAACAUUCGGCCACCGUUUAUUUGUCAGGGAUUCCAAGACAGGUCACCUAUUUUUAAUUGAUACUGGGUCUGAUAUCAGCUGCUUCCCAUGCAACCUGCUUAAGGGAAGAUAUAUUGCCACAACUUUUGACGUUCGGGCCGCCAAUGGCAGUGCUAUAAAAACUUAUGGCACACUUCCCUUGCAGUUAGAUUUAGGGUUGGUUCGAUCUUUCAAAUGGAAUUUUGUGAUUGCAGACGUUAGCGCACCUAUCAUCGGCUCAGACUUAUUGGCUGAAUAUUACCUGAUACCUGACUAUCACAACCAACGGCUGAUAGAUGGCAACACAAGGAACUUUGCUCCGGCUACCAUUGCCCAAAUUAAUCAACAAAGCAUCAAGGCAAUCGUUGCAGAGUCACCAUUUUCAAAAAUCCUGCUGGAAUUUCCUGAUAUUUUGCGACCGCCUGGACUCCCACGGAUUGUGAAGCACUCAACAGUACACCACAUCAUCACAACAGAAGGGCCGCCUGUGUCAUGCCGUCCACGAAGACUUGCACCUCAAAAACUACAGGCAGCAAAGAAAGAGUUUGAUGAUAUGUUGAAGUGUGGAACUGCUCGCCUAUCAAGCAGCCCCUGGGCUUCACCCUUACACAUGGCAAGAAAAGGGACCCUGCAGAGCAUGCUCAACAUCUUCGAGCUCUGUUCCAGAGGUUGUCCAAGUAUGCAGUCGUCAUCAACUCCUCGAAGUGCGUGUUAGCCGCAGACGAGUUUACGACGGAUAUAGUGCAUGUCCAAGGAAAGGAGAACGUCGUGGCGGAUACGGUGUCAAGAAUUGAGGCGAUUCGGAUCGAGGACGAUUACACGGAAUUGGCAAAGUCUCAAGAGACCGAUGAAGAGCUCCGUAACGUACAAACUAAUUCCUCUUUAAAAAUCGAAAAGAUUAAUUUACCAGGCAUCAAUGUGAAUUUUUUUUGCGACGUAUCGACAGGUAAACCUCGUCCAUACCUAACUCCAGCCUUCCGUCGGAAGUACUUUGAGAAGAUCCACAAUCUCAGCCACCCUGGCGCUCGAGCUUCGGCCCGUUUGAUGGCUGAUCGUUUUGUCUGGCCUAACAUAAGGAAGGAAUGUCGACAAUGGGCACGUAGCUGCCUUGCUUGCCAACGCUGUAAAGUUACCAGACACGUAAACGCACCAUUGGAGAAGUUUACUAGCCCUUCCCUUCGCCUACGCCAUGUACAUCUCGACAUCAUCGGCCCCUUGCCCCACAGUAAAGGUUACCAGUACUGUUUGACAGCUGUCGACAGAUUUACCCGGUGGCCAGAGGCUUGGCCAAUGGUCGGGAUCACGGCAGAAGAAGUAGCAGAAACGUUCACCCGGGAGUAGAUAUCCCGAUACGGGGUACCCUCUGUGGUGACCGCUGACCAAGGACGACAGUUUGAAUCAAACCUUUUCCAUCGCCUCAUGGAUGUUUGCGGUACUAAUCGCGUUCGGACGACUGGGUAUCACCCACAAGCGAAUGGAAUGGUGGAGCGCAUGCACCGUCAAUUAAAAGCGGUUGUCAUGUGCCACGGAGAGACCUGGUUAACAGCAUUGCCUCUGGUAUUAUUAGGCAUGAGAACCGCACUUAAAGAAGACUUGAAAACGUCUGCCGCCGAGCUGCUGUACGGCGAGCCUCUUCGUCUCCCCGGCGAGCUCGUCGUUGCCCCAGAGAAAACAGCAGGUUCUGAGGUAAUGAUGGAUUUUGUUACUCGAUUGAGAAACCAUAUGAAAGGACUACGAGUCACACCCGCUGCUCAUCAUUCCCAACCAUCUUCAUUUGUUUUUAAAGACCUGAAUAUCGCGACACAUGUAUUUCUCCGGGACGAUUCAGUGCGGCGCUCUCUGCAACCACCUUACACUGGGCCGUAUCUGGUCAAACAGAGGCAGGGCAAAACCCUGACCAUAGAUAUAAACGGCAGAGAGGCUACCGUCAGUAUUGACAGAGUAAAACCAGCACACAUAGAUAGCUCGGAGCCCAGUCAAACUUCUGUUCUGCCAUUACCUGCUGCAGCACCUUCUCCAGCGCCAGUGCCCAUUCCAGGUCCUACUAUCCAUUCUCCAACUCCUGAUCCUAUACCUAUAGUCACUAGGGCAGGGAGGAUAGUAAAGCACAAGAAUAGGUUAGAUUUAUAAUAUUUUAAUUGUAAUGUUUUUGUUUGUCGGUUAUAAUUAUAACAUUUUAUAUGUUUAAUUGUCUCCGUGGGGGGGGUGGUGUGGCAAAUCGCCACGCACCCAAAUUUUAAUUGUAAUAUUGUAUGGUUCAGAAAUUAUCACAUGAUAUGGUAUGUAAUAUUUUUGUUUGUCUGUUAUAAAAUUUUAUGUGGUUUAAUUGUCUCCGUGGGGGGGUGGUGUGGCGAAUCGCCACGCAUCUGAAGAGACCUCACGUCGAGGAAAAAGAAUGAAGUGUUGUUGGCAACA